CAGUAGCACGGGAAUACGAGGGGGGCAAGCGUUGUUCGGAAUUAUUGGGCGUAAAGGGUGCGUAGGCGGCUUGACAAGUCUUGUGUGAAAUCUAUGGGCUCAACCCAUAGUCUGCACGGGAAACUGUCGGGCUUGAGAAUGGGAGAGGUGAGUGGAAUUUCCGGUGUAGCGGUGAAAUGCGUAGAUAUCGGAAGGAACACCUGUGGCGAAAGCGGCUCACUGGACCAUUUCUGACGCUGAUGCACGAAAGCUAGGGGAGCAAACAGGAUUAGAUACCCGGGUAGUCCCUGUCUCUUAUACC
rnacentral:rRNA from 1 species